CAUAGGUUAAUGAGGCGAACCGGGGGAACUGAAACAUCUAAGUACCCCGAGGAAAAGAAAUCAACCGAGAUUCCCCCAGUAGCGGCGAGCGAACGGGGAGGAGCCCAGAGCCUGAAUCAGUGUGUGUGUUAGUGGAAGCGUCUGGAAAGGCGCGCGAUACAGGGUGACAGCCCCGUACACAAAAAUGCACAUGCUGUGAGCUCGAUGAGUAGGGCGGGACACGUGGUAUCCUGUCUGAAUAUGGGGGGACCAUCCUCCAAGGCUAAAUACUCCUGACUGACCGAUAGUGAACCAGUACCGUGAGGGAAAGGCGAAAAGAACCCCGGCGAGGGGAGUGAAAAAGAACCUGAAACCGUGUACGUACAAGCAGUGGGAGCC
rnacentral:rRNA from 1 species